rnacentral:rRNA from 1 species
UACGUAGGUGGCAAGCGUUGUCCGGAUUUACUGGGCGUAAAGAGCGCGCAGGCGGUUGUGCAAGUCCCGUGUGAAAGCCCCCGGCUCAACUGGGGAGGGUCACGCGAUACUGCUCGACUUGAAGGCAGGAGAGGGAAGUGGAAUUCCCGGUGUAGUGGUGAAAUGCGUAGAUAUCGGGAGGAACACCAGUGGCGAAGGCGACUUCCUGGCCUGUUCUUGACGCUGAGGCGCGAAAGCUAGGGUAGCAAACGGG